rnacentral:rRNA from 1 species
UACGUAGGGUGCGAGCGUUGUCCGGAAUUAUUGGGCGUAAAGAGCUUGUAGGCGGUUUGUCGCGUCUGCCGUGAAAAUUCGAGGCUCAACCUCGAACUUGCGGUGGGUACGGGCAGACUAGAGUGUGGUAGGGGAGACUGGAAUUCCUGGUGUAGCGGUGAAAUGCGCAGAUAUCAGGAGGAACACCGAUGGCGAAGGCAGGUCUCUGGGCAUUACCUGACGCUGAGGAGCGAAAGUGUGGGGAGCGAACAGG